AUGACUCUCGGCAACGGAUAUCUCGGCUCUUGCAUCGAUGAAGAACGUAGCGAAAUGCGAUACUUGGUGUGAAUUGCAGAAUCCCGUGAACCAUCGAGUCUUUGAACGCAAGUUGCGCCCGAAGCCAUUAGGCCGAGGGCACGCCUGCCUGGGUGUCA
rnacentral:rRNA from 1 species